AGAGUUUGAUCCUGGCUCAGAUUGAACGCUGGCGGCAUGCCUUACACAUGCAAGUCGAACGGCAGCACGGGAGCUUGCUCCUGGUGGCGAGUGGCGAACGGGUGAGUAAUAUAUCGGAACGUGCCCUAGAGUGGGGGAUAACUAGUCGAAAGAUUAGCUAAUACCGCAUACGAUCUACGGAUGAAAGUGGGGGAUCGCAAGACCUCAUGCUCAUGGAGCGGCCGAUAUCUGAUUAGCUAGUUGGUGGGGUAAAAGCUCACCAAGGCGACGAUCAGUAGCUGGUCUGAGAGGACGACCAGCCACACUGGAACUGAGACACGGUCCAGACUCCUACGGGAGGCAGCAGUGGGGAAUUUUGGACAAUGGGCGCAAGCCUGAUCCAGCAAUGCCGCGUGAGUGAAGAAGGCCUUCGGGUUGUAAAGCUCUUUUGUCAGGGAAGAAACGGUCUUGGUUAAUACCUGGGGCUAAUGACGGUACCUGAAGAAUAAGCACCGGCUAACUACGUGCCAGCAGCCGCGGUAAUACGUAGGGUGCAAGCGUUAAUCGGAAUUACUGGGCGUAAAGCGUGCGCAGGCGGUUAUACAAGACAGAUGUGAAAUCCCCGGGCUCAACCUGGGAAUUGCAUUUGUGACUGUAUGGCUAGAGUGUGUCAGAGGGGGGUAGAAUUCCACGUGUAGCAGUGAAAUGCGUAGAUAUGUGGAGGAAUACCGAUGGCGAAGGCAGCCCCCUGGGAUAACACUGACGCUCAUGCACGAAAGCGUGGGGAGCAAACAGGAUUAGAUACCCUGGUAGUCCACGCCCUAAACGAUGUCUACUAGUUGUCGGGUCUUAAUUGACUUGGUAACGCAGCUAACGCGUGAAGUAGACCGCCUGGGGAGUACGGUCGCAAGAUUAAAACUCAAAGGAAUUGACGGGGACCCGCACAAGCGGUGGAUGAUGUGGAUUAAUUCGAUGCAACGCGAAAAACCUUACCUACCCUUGACAUGUACGGAAUCCUGAAGAGAUUUAGGAGUGCUCGAAAGAGAACCGUAACACAGGUGCUGCAUGGCUGUCGUCAGCUCGUGUCGUGAGAUGUUGGGUUAAGUCCCGCAACGAGCGCAACCCUUGUCAUUAGUUGCUACGAAAGGGCACUCUAAUGAGACUGCCGGUGACAAACCGGAGGAAGGUGGGGAUGACGUCAAGUCCUCAUGGCCCUUAUGGGUAGGGCUUCACACGUCAUACAAUGGUACAUACAGAGGGCCGCCAACCCGCGAGGGGGAGCUAAUCCCAGAAAGUGUAUCGUAGUCCGGAUUGGAGUCUGCAACUCGACUCCAUGAAGUUGGAAUCGCUAGUAAUCGCGGAUCAGCAUGUCGCGGUGAAUACGUUCCCGGGUCUUGUACACACCGCCCGUCACACCAUGGGAGCGGGUUCUGCCAGAAGUAGUUAGCCUAACCGCAAGGAGGGCGAUUACCACGGCAGGGUUCGUGACUGGGGUGAAGUCGUAACAAGGUAGCCGUAUCGGAAGGUGCGGCUGGAUCACCUCC
rnacentral:rRNA from 1 species